rnacentral:rRNA from 1 species
AACGUAGGUACCGAGCGUUAUCCGGAUUUACUGGGCGUAAAGCGCGUUCAGGCGGUUUGGCAAGUCGGGCGUGAAAUCUCUCGGCUCAACCGGGAGAGGUUGUCCGAUACUGCCGGACUUGAGGGCAGUAGAGGGUGGUGGAAUUCCGGGUGUAGUGGUGAAAUGCGUAGAUAUCCGGAGGAACACCAGUGGCGAAAGCGGCCACCUGGACUGCACCUGACGCUGACACGCGAAAGCUAGGGGAGCGAACGGG